rnacentral:rRNA from 1 species
AUUCCAGCUCCAAUAGCGUAUAUUAAAGUUGUUGCAGUUAAAAAGCUCGUAGUUGGAUGUGUGGUGGCUCGUGCGGUCCAAAAUGUUUUGGUGCUGUGUCGAGCUGUCAUCCUUGGGUGGAACCUGUGGGGCAUUAGGUUGUUCUGCAGGGGAUGCCCAUCGUUUACUGUGAAAAAAUUAGAGUGUUCUAAGCAGGCUUAUGCCGUUGAAUAUAUUAGCAUGGAAUAAUGAGAUAGGACUUUGGUGCUAUUUUGUUGGUUUGCGCGCCGGAGUAAUGAUUAAUAGGGAUUGUUGGGGGUAUUCGUAUUCCAUUGUCAGAGGUGAAAUUCUUGGAUUUCUGGAAGACGAACUACUGCGAAAGCAUUUACCAAGGAUGUU